GAUGAACGCUGGCGGCGUGCUUAACACAUGCAAGUCGAACGAAGCACUUUAUUUGAUUUCCUUCGGGACUGAUUAUUUUGUGACUGAGUGGCGGACGGGUGAGUAACGCGUGGGUAACCUGCCUUGUACAGGGGGAUAACAGUUGGAAACGGCUGCUAAUACCGCAUAAGCGCACAGCAUCGCAUGAUGCAGUGUGAAAAACUCCGGUGGUAUAAGAUGGACCCGCGUUGGAUUAGCUAGUUGGUGAGGUAACGGCCCACCAAGGCGACGAUCCAUAGCCGACCUGAGAGGGUGACCGGCCACAUUGGGACUGAGACACGGCCCAAACUCCUACGGGAGGCAGCAGUGGGGAAUAUGGCACAAUGGGCGAAAGCCUGAUGCAGCGACGCCGCGUGAGCGAAGAAGUAUUUCGGUAUGUAAAGCUCUAUCAGCAGGGAAGAUAAUGACGGUACCUGACUAAGAAGCACCGGCUAAAUACGG
rnacentral:rRNA from 1 species